rnacentral:rRNA from 1 species
UUUGUGUACCUACCUCUGUUGCUUUGGCGGGCCGCGGUCCUCCGCGGCCGCCCCCCUCCCCGGGGGGGUGGCCAGCGCCCGCCAGAGGACCAUCAAACUCCAGUCAGUAAACGAUGCAGUCUGAAAAACAUUUAAUAAACUAAAACUUUCAACAACGGAUCUCUUGGUUCUGGCAUCGAUGAAGAACGCAGCGAAAUGCGAUAAGUAAUGUGAAUUGCAGAAUUCAGUGAAUCAUCGAAUCUUUGAACGCACAUUGCGCCCUUUGGUAUUCCGAAGGGCAUGCCUGUUCGAGCGUCAUUACAACCCUCAAGCUCUGCUUGGUAUUGGGCACCGUCCUUUGCGGGCGCGCCUCAAAGACCUCGGCGGUGGCGUCUUGCCUCAAGCGUAGUAGAACAUACAUCUCGCUUCGGAGCGCAGGGCGUCGCCCGCCGGACGAACCUUCUGAACUUUUCUCAAGGUUGACCUCGGAUCAGGUAGGGAUACCCGCUGAACUUAAGCAUA